CACGUAGGGCGCGAGCGUUGUCCGGAAUUGUUGGGCGUAAAGAGCUCGUAGGCGGCCUGUUGCGUCCGCUGUGAAAGCCCGGGGCUUAACCCCGGGUCGGCAGUGGAUACGGGCAGGCUAGAGGUAGGUAGGGGAGAAUGGAAUUCCCGGUGUAGCGGUGAAAUGCGCAGAUAUCGGGAGGAACACCGGUGGCGAAGGCGGGUCUCUGGGCCGAUACUGACGCUGAGGAGCGAAAGCGUGGGGAGCGAACAGG
rnacentral:rRNA from 1 species